GAUGAACGCUGGCGGCGUGCUUAACACAUGCAAGUCGAACGGAAAGGCCCAAGCUUGCUUGGGUGCUCGAGUGGCGAACGGGUGAGUAACACGUGGGUGAUCUGCCCUGCACUUUGGGAUAAGCCUGGGAAACUGGGUCUAAUACCGGAUAGGACCAUCGUUUAGUGUCGGUGGUGGAAAGUUUUUCGGUGUGGGAUGAGCUCGCGGCCUAUCAGCUUGUUGGUGGGGUAAUGGCCUACCAAGGCGUCGACGGGUAGCCGGCCUGGGGGGGUGUACGGCCAUAUUGGCGCGGAAGGGAGGCCCCGACCCCAGGGGGGGGAGGAGGGGGGGAAUUUGGAGCAAGGGGGGAAGCGGUGGGGCAGAGGGGCGGCGGGGGGGAUGGCGCCCUUGGGGGGGAAAAACACUUGCACAAGGAGAAACGGUUUUUGUGAGGGUACUGGGAGAAGAAGCACCGGCUAACUCCGUG
rnacentral:rRNA from 1 species